CAAUUUCAUUCACUUAAAAACCCCAAAACCCGAUGUUGCCGAACGCUCCUGGAGGUUUCGUGGAAGUCAUCUUGCAAUUUCCGGUCACGCAGUCAGAGAAGGAGUAUUUCAACGACUGAAGUUGCUGUUGCCUAUGCGAAUUUCAAACUCAAAACCACAGAAUACAAAAUACUAAGUUCAGUUACAUGGCGAUCCGCGAAGCAAAGUUUCUCUGCAGCUACGGCGGCGAGAUCAAGCCCCGCGGCCACAACAACAAGCUCGCCUACAUCGAUGGAACCAAUAAGCUUCUUCGUGUUGACCGCAGAAUUGACUUCACAGCCAUGGUUGCCGAAAUCUCCAGCCUUUUUGACGGCGCCUCCAACCGCGACAACUUCUUCAAAUACCAAGUCCCCGGCAGCGAUGACCUCAAUGCUCUCGUCUCCGUCACCAACGACAGAGACCUUCAUAACAUGAUGCUCGAGUUCGAUCAACUCUACCGCGAUUCCCCUGGAUUCGCCCGCAUGAGACUCUUCCUCUUCCCAAACCCUAACAAACCUCUCGAUUCGGUUAAGCCAAACUCUAAUAGGCUAUCUUCGAAUCUUUGGAAGUAUGAUGUGUUUAUCAGCUUUAGAGGGAAGGACAUUCGUACGGGAUUCAGUUCCCAUCUUGUCGGAGCUCUGAAUCAAAACCAAAUAAAAACCUUCAUUGAUGAUGAGCUUCACAAAGGGGAUUGCAUCUUGGAUUCUCUUACAAGAGCUAUUGAAAAUUCGUCUAUAUCUGUUAUCAUCUUGUCAGAGAAUUUUGUUACCUCAAGUUGGUGCCUUCACGAGUUAUUGAAAAUAAUGGAGUGCGGAAGGAAAGUUAUACCUGUGUUUUAUGGUGUGGAUCCAUCAGAUGUGCGAAAGCAGCUAGUAAGUUUCAAUGAAAAAUUCAAGUCUCACCUGCAGUGUGACAUUAACAAUCUUCUGAAAUGGAUGGAAGCUCUCGCCAAAAUAGCGGAUUUAGAUGGCUGGGACUCCGGCUCUUGUAGGGACGACUUUGAACUUGUUGAAAAGAUUGUCAAAGAUAUUUUGCGAGAGCUGAAUAAUCAUUGCCUGCAUAAGGAUGUCAAGAGUUUAGUUGGUAUUGAUAAAAAUCAUGAAAAGUUAGAAAUGUUAUUAAGUUCAGUUCCUGAUGAACAAACGGGAAUAAUUGGGAUUUGUGGGAUGGGAGGAUUGGGCAAAACAACUUUAGCAAGACUUUUAUAUCAGGAACUUUCUCAUCAGUAUGAAGGUUCCUGCUUCCUAGGAAAUGUUCGGGAAAGAUCAGAAAAGUAUGGGCGGGGACUAGAUGAGUUGCGAAAUCAACUUUACUUGGAGUUGUUGCAAGGAAAAGAUUGCGAAAAUACCAUGGCAAAUACAACUUUAAAGUGCAGGCUCAGCAGACAAAGAAAUUUCAUAGUUCUUGAUGAUGUGAGUAGCUCAAAACAAUUAGAAUACCUAGCUGGGGACCUUCAGUGCUAUGGUGCAGGAAGUAGAAUCAUUGUGAUAACAAGGGACAAGAGUGUGCUGAAAAAAGGAGUUGAAAAAUUUCAUCAGAUGGAGGUGUUAGAUUUUCAAGAUUCCCUUAUAUUGUUUAGCUUGAAUGCGUUCAAUCAAGACUAUCCAAAAAGGGGAUACCAAGAGCUAUCAUGGAAAGCAGUUACCUACUGCAAAGGUGUCCCAUUAGCUUUAAAAGAAUUGGGUUCUUUUCUUUUUUCCAAGAGUGAAACUGAAUGGGAUAAUGUUCUGCAAAAACUCGAGAAGAAUCCUAAUGCAGCAAUUCAAAAUGUGUUAAGAUUGAGUUGUAAUGGAUCAGAUUAUCAGGGGAAUCAUAUUGUUCUAGACAUUGCAUCAGUUUUUAAGGGGGAGCAAAAGGAACAACUAGUUAAUGUAUUUGAUAGUUGCAGUUUCUAUACAGCUAGAGGCAUGAGUUCCCUUCUUGAUGAGGCUCUAAUAGCUAUGUUCGAUCAUUUUGGGUUAUCUCAUGUCUUGUACAAGAAAUGGGGUAGAGAAUCCUUUGUCAGAGAACUAUCAAGAAUUGUCAAAGUCAUAGCCAUUUGUGGGAUGUUGGUGAUGCUUGUGAUGUUUUGGAAAAUAAUAAGAUGAUGCAUUGAUGCUCCAGUUUAGAGAAUGAUAAUCCUCUGUGCUUGACUCUAUUGCACUGGUUGAAGUUCUACAACCAUAGAGCAAGAUCACGUUCUCUUGGAGCACAUCGAUAAGGCAAAUUAGAUUUUCUUUAGUAUUAGAUUAUGAUUUUUAUCAUUAUAUCAUGAUAAUAUUUGUAGAAGAACGAUUUCUUAAAAGUAUUUUAUUGAAAUAUAUUGGUUAUAAAAUUUUAGAGAAAUUGAUAUUUUCCUUUCAUAUUCUGUAUCAUUGUUAUUUGAGGCCUGAGGCCCUUGCCGCUAAUAGGGAUUGUAGACACUGUUGUCUCGACUGCCAUAGAAAAGAAAGAUUUUUUAGACAUUUUUUGGGUCUUUUAGCUUUAUUUUAUGUUUUAGUUCUCUAAACUUUACUUCUAUAAGGCAAAUAGGUCUCUUCAGUCAGCAUCUUUGAGACUUUGACUAUUAAUGGAGGAUUCUAUACGGAAAUGGAUCCUCUUCAUUUUUUAUAACACUUAAAAGAAUAAAGUGUGAUUUUUUACCUUUAAUUCUAUAAGUAGGUCUAAAAAUAAAUAGGAGAGAGAGAGAGAAAGAGUGAGAUUAAACACUUGACAUCAUUCAAUUUUUUUUUAUUAUUGGAGAGGAUCUACUCCCACUCUACACGGCCAUCAAGAAGGUGAUGUGGUCGUUAACAUGCCAUGUGAGGUGCAAGACAUAGAUUAAAGAGUGAGAUUUUGUCGGAACCGAAGCAGAUUUUGGAUUGUGAGAAUAGAGUAAAGAGUGAGGAUUAUGUGUUGGAUUUUUUUAUUUCGGUGAUGUCGUCAUCAGAGUUGUUAUCUAUUCCUAAUUUGUUGGAUCUUGAAGGUGAUAGGGAGGCGAUUGAGGAGUAUUUAGGUAAUUUGUAUGUGUGUGUUUUAUGUUGUAGCUGCUGAGUGUUUUGGUGAGAAGUUGAAUUGAUGUGUUUGGUUUGUUGUUGUAAGAGAUAAAGCUCCCACCCUAAUGAAUUUGAAAGCUUUUGUGAAUAAAGUCAAGAAGAAUGAAAAAGAGGAUUCUUCUACUAAUGUGAUCAAAGAUAGUGAAGCAGAUGGUGCUCAAUCCGCUGCCCACCAGGCAGUGAGGUUUAAGAGAAAAUAGAGGACGAACCCUAAGGAAAGUGGUGGGGUGUUCACGGCCGAGGAGAUUAAUGCCGCCUAUGAAAGUCAGCAAGGUCUUCAUGGGUAUCGGGAUAGGCCAAUGAAUUCACUCUUGACAAAGGGUUACCCCUUUAUGGCUAUUGCUGAUGAGUUUGCUCAGACUGAUGCUGAUGUAAAGGUUGUUCAUGAGGCGGGGAAGAUUGGUGUGGCUCGCUUCUUCCAAGUGGUCGAUUGAUGUCAAUCGGACGAACAUAAGAGUUAGAUGCUAUUCUGGAGGGUGACAAUGUUGCUGUCAUAAAGAGAUUGAAAGAAUCAGCUUAAACAGAAAGGUAAACUAGUGAGCAAGUUAAAAGCCGAAGUGAAAAGCCUGAAGAAGGGGUUGAGAAAAGUAGAAGAGGAGGAUAAAAAGGUUAGGGCUGAGCUAGAGGCAACUGUUGUUGAAGGUGAUAAGUUGAAGGCUAGAAUUGCGAAAGAGGUAUUAAGUGCCUUCACACGGGGCUUUGACCGUGCUAUGGCUCAGAUAGGAGUGAUUGCUCCUGAUAUUGAUGUUUCGAAAUUUGACGUUACCAAAAUUGUAGCAAAUGGUGAGUUAGUAGAUGAUGAUGUGUUAGUUGAUAACCAAGAGGAAAGCGUAGGCGGUGGUGAAGAAGAGUAGUACUCGUCUUUGAAUCUUUUGAGUUGUUUUGCUUACGCUGUAUAAUCGUAUUUGGUAUUUGGAUUGUUUGCUAUUGUUGGUUGGACAUUAGUUUGUUUUGCCAAACUCAGGCUUCGUUAUGGGUAUUUGAUUUAUAUUAUUCGCAUAAGGAAUUUCAUUUGA